rnacentral:rRNA from 1 species
UCCAGACUCCUACGGGAGGCAGCAGUGGGGGAUAUUGCACAAUGGGGGGAACCCUGAUGCAGCGACGCCGCGUGGGUGAAGGAGCGUUUCGGCGCGUAAAGCCCUAUCGGCAGGGAAGAAGGAGGACGGUACCUGACUAAGAAGCCCCGGCUAACUACGUGCCAGCAGCCGCGGUAAUACGUAGGGGGCAAGCGUUAUCCGGAUUUACUGGGUGUAAAGGGGGCGCAGACGGCGGCGCAAGCCAGGAGUGAAAGCCCGGGGCCCAACCCCGGGACUGCUCUUGGAACUGCGCGGCUGGAGUGCAGGAGGGGCAGGCGGAAUUCCUGGUGUAGCGGUGAAAUGCGUAGAUAUCAGGAGGAACACCGGUGGCGAAGGCGGCCUGCUGGACUGCGACUGACGUUGAGGCCCGAAAGCGUGGGGAGCAAACAGGAUUAGAUACCCCGGUA